UUAAACCCGGCCAGACCUGGCUUUAGAAAAUUUAUAAGCUGACCUCCAUUUUGGCUGUUUCGAGAGUAAAUUAACAACAACAAAAAAAGCCUAACAUGUACACAGCCCUUCGCCCCAACCCCUGGGACCGCUGGUUCCCAGUCGUGCUGCUCACCCCCCGCCCCCCACGCCUGACACACGCUCCCCUUCCCGCACGCCGGGGGGCGCCCGGGGCACCGAAGUCUACACUGGGUCGGGAGACCGGUCUAGGAGCCAGCCGGCAGUGCUCGGGAUCUUUGCUGAUGUCCAAGUUCAUCUCUCGGGGAGACCGAGUUUGAAUCAAAUCUGCGUGCGCCCAGCUGUCAAAUCUGCAAACCUAUCACGCCAGACAAUGGGCCGCCGCGGAGGACAGACAAGAAUGGCUCAUUUUGAUCGAGGGGGGUAAAUUGAAAAGGGCACGGGCUUUGGUUGAAGUUUGAGGCCCGGGUGUCAGGGCGGGGAGAAGAAGAGGAGGAAGGAGGAGGGUUGGGCCGCUCUCCAUUCAACCACACAUCAGCCAGGCGCGCCCCUCGGCUGCAGCGGCUGCUUGCAGGCGGGCUGCAUAUUGUGUGGAGUCGCCAAAGAGGGUCUGCGCCUCGGGGCGCGCCCCAAACCCGGGGGACAUCCUACGGAUCCGCACUUCUCUUGUGCUGUACGCGUGUUCCUCCAGGGUAAGUAUGAGGAGACGGACGCCCUCAUCAGACACCCCUCCUCCAACACACACACACCCAUAGCCACAUCAUUCAGGGAUACUCUAGUUCAGUGUAUCAGUUUACACUUGGUUGUUGAGUAAACAAAGCAAACAUAUGUCACAUUUUCGCGACAGAUGGUUCAAACCAAGGGCUACUUAAGUUCUCUCUCUCUAACAGUCUAAGUUACAGGCUGAACUAAGCAGAAAUGUAAUUAAGUCAUCUGAUCAGUUUCUUCGACUUAAAAUGUUUUCCCAUAUUUUCACAAACAAGCCAGAUAAAUCCUGGGGAUGUGGUUUCAAGGAAAGGAGGGCUGAAUAUGAACUAAGACUUUGUGUGAAGACUCCGUUUCUCCCCGGUCACCCCAAACAGAAAAUCCUCUUUCAUUGUUCCAUUUCGUAAGUGGAGGAGAAUGUCUUCUUUUGGAAAAUCAGUAAUUGGAAUUUCAAUUUUCAAUAGAGGGACUAGUGCUUACCGGUGCUGAUUACUUGGGAUAGUUGGAUUACAAUGAGGUUUAAGACAUCAUCCACAUCUUUUGUAAAUGUUCUUUGUUUAGAAAUGACUUCAUGUUACCCUAUAUAUUCCACGGAAUUCUUUUGAAUCAAAUUUUAACAGGGUGGGGGAAGGGUGAACUAAAAGCUCUCCCAGUGUAGAAUAUGGGACUUCUUUUUAAAAUACAGAUGAUCUCCAACUUAUGAUGCUUCUACUUAUAUUUUUAGACUUUACCAUGGUGCAAAAGCCAUAUACAUUCAGUAGAAACUGUAUUUUGACUAUGGACCAUACAAUCAUUCUAUUUUUCACUGUCAGGUUAGUAUUGAAUAAGUUUCAUGAGAUAGUCAACACUUUACUAUAAAAUAGCUUUGUGUUAGAUAAUUUUCCCCAACUGCCGGCUAAUGUAAGUGUUUUGAGCAUGUUUAAGGUAGGCUAGGCUAGGCUGUGAUGCUUGGUAGUUUAAGUGUAUUAAAUGCAUUUUCAACCUAUGAUGUUCUCAACUUUUGAUGAGUUUAUCAGAGCAUAAGCCUCAUUGGAAGUCAAGGAUCAUCUGUAUUUUUAGCUUCAAUAAUGUAUUUCUGAACCAUUCACUCACACUUGUCCUUAUUAAGUUUGUGCUGCUGAUGAAUACAGAGCUUUGUUUUUAAAAAGGUAACAAUAAACCCCCAGAGGCUGUAACUGUGUUGUCCAAUACAAUAGUCACUAGCCAUGUGGCUAUGUCAAUGAAAUUAAUUAAAAUUAAAUAAAAGAAAAAUGCAGUUCCUCAGUAGCAUUAACCAUAUUUCAAGUGCUCAAUAGCUACAUGUGGCUGGUGGCUACCAUAUUGGACAACACAGAUAUAGAUCAUUUCCAUCAUUGCAGCAAGCUCUACUGGACAGCACUACCCUAUAAUGUUGGUGUGGAAUUAGUUAAUGUGGUAUAUACACAUAUAUAAAGUUUUUAGAAUAGUAGAAUAGUGCAUAGAGUGCUUACUUCAUAAGCAGCAGCAGUACUGGGGGUUGUAGUUGGAAGGAUAAUGAUGAUGAUGAUGAUGAUGAUGAUGAUGAUGCCUUGUUAGUCUCUUGUAGAAGUCAAAGAAUCGAUGAAGACACAGCCCACUUCUGGUAUGUCAGGAUGAGAUCAGCAGGCAAAGAAGCCAGGGAGUAGGAGAAUCUAUAUGUCAAAAGCUGAUCUUCCAAGGAAAGCUGUGAACAGAAAGAUGUGGCCCAUACUGUAGCCUAAGACUUCCCGUAGUAGGAGCUAAUAAAAAUAAUAAUUAAAAAAAUCACUGCUUUACAACUACAUCCAUUAACUUUUUUUUUUCUUUUUUUCUUCUUUUUUUUGAGACAGAGUCUCGAGCUGUCGCCUGGGCUGGAGUGCAGUGGCAUGAUCUCAGCUCACUGCAACCUCUGCCUCCUGGGUUCAAGCAAUUCUCCUGUCUCAACCUCCUAAGUAGCUGGGAUUACAGGCACCCACCACCACAACCAACUAAUUUUUUUGUAUUUUUAGUAGAGAUGGGAUUUCAGUAUGUUGGCCAGGCUGGUCUCAAACUCCUAACCUUGUGAUCCACCCACCUCAGCCUCCCAAAGUGCUGGGAUUACAGGCGUGAACCACCACGCCCGGCCUACAUCCACUAACUUCUAAAGCCAGUUAUGGUCAUGUGGCCAGAUCUGAUGAAUCAGAUGUGGCAGAAAGGAUGCGAAGAAGCUCUGAGCAGGUGCCCUCCCUCUACAUGUUCCCACCAUCCUGCGUCCUUGUGCUGCGCCGGACCAGGCAUGCAAGAACAACACACCAAGGAUGGCGGAGCAACAAGAUAGAAGAGGCCUGAGUCCCAGGAUGACUGCCUGGAGCACAGCUGUCUGCCUGCUCAGGGCCUUGUGUCACAUACUAUAAUGUGAGAGACAAAUAAACUUGUCAUAUUUAAGCCAGUA